rnacentral:rRNA from 1 species
GAAAGCUUCCAAACUGGGAUUAGAUACCCCACUAUUCUUAACUGUAAAUUUAAUUAGAUUUACCAGAGUACUAUGAAUCAAAUAAAAUUUAAAACUUAAAGAGCUUGGCGGUGUUUUAGACCUAUCAGGGGAACCUGUCUCAUAAUCGACAGUCCACGCCAGACCUAACCUCCUUUAGUAAUCAGCCUGUAUACCGUCGUCGCCAGGUAACUUUUAAAAAAUUAGAAGUUAGCUAUUACAAUCCUGUAAAUUAAGACGUCAGAUCAAGGUGCAGCUAAUAAGGAGGAAGAGAUGGGUUACAAUUAUGUAUUUAUAAUUACGAAAAAUUACAUGAAAAAUAAUUAGAAGGAGGACUUGAAAGUAAAAUAUAUUACAUAAGCGGUUUGAAUAAGGCUCUGAAACGUGCACACACCGCCCGUCACCCUCUGCAGUCAA